GACGAACGCUGGCGGCGUGCUUAACACAUGCAAGUCGAGCGGUAAGGCCCUUUCGGGGGUACACGAGCGGCGAACGGGUGAGUAACACGUGGGUGACCUGCCUUCAGCUCUGGGAUAAGCCUGGGAAACCGGGUCUAAUACUGGAUAUGACUCCAUGACGCAUGUUGUGGGGUGGAAAGCCUUGUGCGGCUGAGGAUGGGCCCGCGGCCUAUCAGCUUGUUGGUGGGGUGANGGCCUACCAAGGCGACGACGGGUAGCCGGCCUGAGAGGGCGACCGGCCACACUGGGACUGAGACACGGCCCAGACUCCUACGGGAGGCAGCAGUGGGGAAUCUUGCGCAAUGGGCGAAAGCCUGACGCAGCGACGCCGCGU
rnacentral:rRNA from 1 species